GAUGAACGCUGGCGGCGUGCCUCAUACAUGCAAGUCGAACGGGUCUGAUUGAGUAGCAAUAUUUAGUCAGGCUAGUGGCGAACGGGUGAGUAACACGUAGCUAACCUGCCCCCUAGUCUGGGAUAACGGUUCGAAAGGAACGCUAAUACCGGAUAAGACAAGUUGCCGCAUGGCAACAGGUUAAAAGAUGGCCUCUGUUUACAAGCCGCGCUUAGGGAUGGGGCUGCGGUCCAUUAGGUAGUUGGUGAGGUAAUGGCCCACCAAGCCUGCGAUGGAUAGCCGGACUGAGAGGUUGGACGGCCACAAUGGAACUGAGACACGGUCCAUACUCCUACGGGAGGCAGCAGUAGGGAAUAUUCCGCAAUGGGCGAAAGCCUGACGGAGCGACGCCGCGUGAAUGAAGAAGUCUUUCGGGAUGUAAAGCUCUUUUGUCCGGAGCGAAACGGUUGUGGUGAACAGCCACGACUACUGACGGUACCGGAAGAAUAAGCACCGGCUAACUACGU
rnacentral:rRNA from 1 species